rnacentral:rRNA from 1 species
UACGUAGGGUGCAAGCGUUAAUCGGAAUUACUGGGCGUAAAGCGUGCGCAGGCGGUUUGGUAAGACAGAUGUGAAAUCCCUGGGCUCAACCUAGGAAUUGCAUUUGUGACUGCCCGGCUAGAGUGUGUCAGAGGGGGGUAGAAUUCCACGUGUAGCAGUGAAAUGCGUAGAGAUGUGGAGGAAUACCGAUGGCGAAGGCAGCCCCCCUGGGAUAACACUGACGCUCAUGCACGAAAGCGUGGGGAGCAAACAGG